rnacentral:rRNA from 1 species
UACGAGGGGUGCAAGCGUUGCUCGGAAUUAUUGGGCGUAAAGGGUAGGUAGGUGGUCUCAUUUGUCUGGGGUGAAAGCCUUGAGCUUAACUCAAGAAGUGCCCCAGAAACGGUGAGACUCGAGUACUGGAGAGGGUCGUGGAAUUCCCGGUGUAGCGGUGAAAUGCGUAGAGAUCGGGAGGAACACCAGAGGCGAAGGCGGCGACCUGGACAGUCACUGACACUCAACUACGAAAGCGUGGGGAGCAAACAGG